rnacentral:rRNA from 1 species
UCAACAAGUGGAGGAAAAGAAAUAACAAGGAUUCCCCUAGUAACGGCGAGUGAAGCGGGAAGAGCUCAAAUUUGUAAUCUGGCACUUUCAGUGUCCGAGUUGUAAUCUCGAGAAGUAUUUUCCGCGCCGGACCGCAUACAAGUCUGUUGGAAUACAGCGUCAUAGUGGUGAGAACCCCGUAACUGAUGCGGAUGCCCGGUGCUUUGUGAUAUACUUUCGAAGAGUCGAGUUGUUUGGGAAUGCAGCUCAAAUUGGGUGGUAAAUUCCAUCUAAAGCUAAAUAUUGGAGCAAGACCGAUAGCGAACAAGUACCGUGAGGGAAAGAUGAAAAGCACUUUGGAAAGAGAGUUAACAGUACGUGAAAUUGUUGGAAGGGAAACGCUUGAAGUCAGACUUGCUAUUCGGAGUUCAGCCGCAAGGUGUAUUCUUCGAUUCGCAGGCCAGCAUCAGUUUUCGGGGGUGGAAAAUCGCGGUUUGAAGGUAGCAACUUCGGUUGUGUUAUAGCUUUCCGCUGGAUUCAUCCUUGGGGACUGAGGAACGCAGUACGCUUUUUGCAAGGCUCUCGAGCUUUUCGUACUUAGGAUGCUAGUGGAAU